ACCCGGACCAAUCUGGAUCGUAUACCUACUUAAGACCUACGCAUUCCCGAAGCACUGUGACGUUUUGUGAUUUGGCUUUGUUACAUGGACCGCUUGGAAAUAUCAAUAUCGAAAGUGACAUGAUGGAGAGAGAGAGUUCUAUCUUGAAUAGAAAACAUUGAAAGGGUAGGAACUGCAGCCGAUAUGAAUCCACGAAUGCCUAAAGUGUUGUAUAUGUUCGGAACUAAUAAAACCAAAAUCCUUCCAUCCUGUACGGUGAGAAUGAAUUCAACAGAAGGAACCGUAUUUUGAAACACACGGUAUUAAAUGUGAUCCUGACGCUGAUCAUUACAAACUUGCAACCUUAUAACAACAGAGGAUCGCCAAACCUACCGCAAUUGCAAAUACUUAUUGCAUUAAGGCAUAAAAAUGCAACUGGAUGUUUUCAGAUGGUGUGCGGUGAUCUGAACAGCAUAAGCCAAUCUACAGUCUGUUUAAUUAUAAAUAAAGUCUCUGCAGAGUUGAGUAAAUUACUUCCUAGAUUUGUAAAUUGUCCAAGAAAUAUGAACACAGCCAAAACGAAGUUUGAUGAAUUAGGAAGAUCUAAUACUCACCAUGGCCUAAACAGUAUAAUCGGAGCUAUUGACUGCACCCAUAUAAAAAUUAAUAGACCCAAAAGUAUCGCUCACUCUGAAGCAUACAGAAAUAAAAAAGGGUAUUUUUCUGUAAAUGUGCAAGCAAUAAUACGGCCUGAUAUGGAAAUAUUUGCUAUAGUGACUAGGUGGCCUGGCAGUUCACACGACAGCAGGAUAUUUAGAAAAUGCCUGUUUUAGUAGGUGACAGCGGGACAGCAGAAACAAUGAAAGAUCUCCUAGAGGUCUAGCAUUCCGGCAAUCUGUGAUUGCACAAUUUAACUAGGUAAUUUGUUUGGUAAUAAAGAAUAUCAAAACAAAA